UGACGCUGGCGGCAGGCCUAACACAUGCAAGUCGAGCGGUAACAGAAAGUAGCUUGCUACUUUGCUGACGAGCGGCGGACGGGUGAGUAAUGCUUGGGAACAUGCCUUGAGGUGGGGGACAACAGUUGGAAACGACUGCUAAUACCGCAUAAUGUCUACGGACCAAAGGGGGCUUCGGCUCUCGCCUUUAGAUUGGCCCAAGUGGGAUUAGCUAGUUGGUGAGGUAAUGGCUCACCAAGGCAACGAUCCCUAGCUGGUUUGAGAGGAUGAUCAGCCACACUGGAACUGAGACACGGUCCAGACUCCUACGGGAGGCAGCAGUGGGGAAUAUUGCACAAUGGGCGAAAGCCUGAUGCAGCCAUGCCGCGUGUGUGAAGAAGGCCUUCGGGUUGUAAAGCACUUUCAGUCAGGAGGAAAGGGUGUGAGUUAAUACCUCAUAUCUGUGACGUUACUGACAGAAGAAGCACCGGCUAACUCCGUGCCAGCAGCCGCGGUAAUAC
rnacentral:rRNA from 1 species